UACAGAGGUCCCAAGCGUUGUUCGGAUUCACUGGGCGUAAAGGGUGCGUAGGUGGCAUGUUAAGUUUGAUGUGAAAGCUCAGGGCUCAACCCUGAAAUGGCAUUGAAUACUAGCGUGCUGGAGGUUUGGAGGGGGGACUGGAAUUCUUGGUGUAGCAGUGAAAUGCGUAGAUAUCAAGAGGAACACCAGUGGCGAAGGCGAGUCCCUGGACAACACCUGACACUGAGGCACGAAAGCCGGGGGAGCAAACAGG
rnacentral:rRNA from 1 species